rnacentral:rRNA from 1 species
GACGAACGCUGGCGGCGUGCUUAACACAUGCAAGUCGAACGGAAAGGCCCUGCUUUUGUGGGGUGCUCGAGUGGCGAACGGGUGAGUAACACGUGAGUAACCUGCCCUUGACUUUGGGAUAACUUCAGGAAACUGGGGCUAAUACCGGAUAGGAGCUCCUGCUGCAUGGUGGGGGUUGGAAAGUUUCGGCGGUUGGGGAUGGACUCGCGGCUUAUCAGCUUGUUGGUGGGGUAGUGGCUUACCAAGGCUUUGACGGGUAGCCGGCCUGAGAGGGUGACCGGCCACAUUGGGACUGAGAUACGGCCCAGACUCCUACGGGAGGCAGCAGGGGGGAAUAUUGCACAAUGGGCGGAAGCCUGAGACAGCAACGCCGCGUGCGGGAUGACGGCCUUCGGGUUGUAAACCGCUUUCGCCUGUGACGAAGCGUGAGUGACGGUAAUGGGUAAAGAAGCACCGGCUAACUACGUG